rnacentral:lncRNA from 1 species
CCCAGAGUAGGCAGAGAAGUUAUGCUGAUCGGCGUCGACGAGACUUGGAAUUUCAGAUUGGAGACCAUGUGUUCUUGAAAGUCUCGCCGACCAAAGGAAUUAGAAGAUUUGAAAUCCGGGGUAUGUUGAGCCCCCGAUUCAUCGGACCGUUUGAGGUUUUGGAGCGUGUAGGCCCGGUAGCGUAUCGACUCGCUCUACCGCCAAACCUAUCGGGGGUACACAAUGUGUUCCAUGUAUCGGUCCUUCGGAAGUACAUUCACGACCCGGCUCAUAUUUUGGACUCUACGCCUUUGGAGCUGAGGGAUGAUUUGAGCUUUGAAAAGCAACCCUUGAGGAUUUUGGCUCGCGAGAUGAAAAGAUUACGGAACCGAGAAAUUCCUUACGUGAAGAUGCUUUGGAGCAACCACGACGAGCGCGAGGCCACUUGGGAGCUGGAGAGCGCACUGAGGGAGCGCUAUCCCCAUCUUUUUCAGAUGGAGGCUUGAGGUACUUGUCAUCUCGAGUUUCGCGGACGAAACUCCCUUUUAGGAGGGGUGAAUGUAGCACACUGGACCUUUGCAAAUUGCGAGGUUCGAGUGCUUGGAUGUAUUUCGAGCUUUUCCACACUUGGUGGAGGGUUGUAGAAUGUUUUUCGAUCUAAAAUGUUCGAAAACUGAAAUUCUCGACAAGUCCUGAGAGUUAUUACUCUCGGGGACCGGUCCCUGAAAGGAGAGAUCGGUCCCCCAGUGAGCAGUGUUGCGGCAGCCUUGAGGCAACCGGUCUCUGGCGGGCGAGACCGGUCCCCGAGCGCACCUACGCUGUAAGGAAGUGAAUUCUCGAAACUCGAGGAUUUGACUUUCGGCUAGAAUCGACUGUUCGUCGAGUGCAUAGGCUUCGGAAAGUCUAAAGGUAAUUAUAAUGCAUAAAGUGCAUUAAGGGAAGGUCUGCGAGAGCACCAGUGCGAAAUCUGCACUGGAGCAGAAUUGCUCUCGGGGACCGGUCCCUGACAGGGAGGGUCCGGUUCCAUCAGGCUGGGCUGCGGGGGUCUCUGAUGAGACCGGUCCCUGGCAGGCAGGGACUGGUUCCCGAACGUUGGCCCAGCGAAAGUAGCCGAAAUUUGGCUAAGUCCCGAAAACUCAGCUUUCGGGAACCGGUCUCUCGGACAAGGACCGGUCUCCCGGGGACCGGUCUCUCAGGCAAGGACCGGUUCCCGAACACGAAAACCCCUCUGCCCGAGAUGGCAGCCUUCGGGGACCGGUCUCCCCGAGCUGGGACCGGUCCCUUACUGCGAAAAUGCCCAGAGAGGGCUGAUUCUAAAGAUGAAAAGUUGAGGGGGCUAGCUGCAAAAUAGCCUUUAUUAGAAGUGGGGGACCCCUCUCUCUCCCUCUCAGUUGCUCUUUCUCUCCCUCUUUCACACUCUUUCCCUCUCUCUCUCUAGGAAAGAAAAGAAGGAGAAGAAGAAGGAGAAGAAAGAAAGGAAGGAAAAGAAGAAGAAGUGGAAGGAGAAGUCUAAGAAGAAGAAGAAGAAGGUCUUCUUCCCUCUCUCCUUCAAGCUAGGGCAAGCUUGGAGCUUGGCUUAGAGGUAAGCUCCAAACCCACUCAUGGUAGAUUUCUUAGGGUUGGGUUUUGUUGCUUAGAAUUGGUUCAAAUGGAACCUAUUAGGGAUGAAUAGAAGGUUCGAGCUCGAAAUCGAAGCUCGCACCACGGAUUUCUCCGUUGUUGAGACCUAGGGCUUAGAAUUGGGAUUUUGGCAAAUCUAGGGUUUUGAUCUAAUUUGUUGGGUCGUUAACCUAAUUGCUAGGUCUCUGAACGCGUCAGCGAAAACGGUUUGCUGAUCCGACGAGCAAGUGCAGAGUUAUCGCCGAAUUGGGUACUCGAGGGCUCACAUCGCCCCGAGGAGUCGAAGCGGCGUAAAAGAACCCCAACGUCGAGUUUUCUAUUGUCGCGACAUCGCCAAGAGGUGGGUGGUGUCCAUCCCGAAGCAAUCGGGCUCCCUUCUAUGUCUUAGUACAUGUUGACCUUUGCAUCUUGUAUUAUUGCAUUAUAGGAUGAUUGUGCAUUGCCUUUCCUUAUGCUUUCCCUGAUGAUAUCGUAGCAUGUAUUGGAUAUUUGAUAUAGUGGAUCGAUAAGGAUUGGGUCGAAAUUGUGAAUCCUAUAGUGUAGAGAAAAGGAUGGGCUUAAUGGUUGGUCCAAUGAUGAACAAAGAACGGAUGGCAUUUAGUCAAUAGUAAACCAUGAACGAGUUGCAUUUAGUUGGCAGUAGGCAAAAGAACAAAUGACACAUAUGAGUCGUAGUGUAUGUGAAACCUAUGGACUAUAUGAUGAUUGUGACCCUAGAGGAUAGGGUAUUCUCGAGAUGAGGAUUGGAUCAUGCUCACGGUCUGUUUUAAAUCUUGUGAUGGAAGCCCCACACAAGUAGUGCGCUCCGGAGUUGGUCACGUGGGAUUGCCUAUCUUGGGUCCCAAGGGAUUUGCCUAUUUGGCCCCGCCAGACGGUCUCGGUUCGUAGUGCGAGUUGACCCUCCCUACCUUCGAGAUGGCUAGUGAGCUGUAGGCGAGCCUUCGGGUAAGCCACGAGAUUGAUGAACGAGUAAAUGAGGUAAAUGAAUGAGUGAAUAGCUUUACCUUUGGACAUGAUAACAGGUUAGCUGCUUACCUAUUUCAUUGUGCAUGCAUCAUAUAUUUAUGAUUGGGCAUAGUAGAGUAGCUUUACUUUUCUAUUUUUACAGCUUUCAUUAUCUAUCUAUCUAUCGAUUAUCUACUUUCGCCCGCUUGGACCUAGUGGGGAGAUCGGCGGAGUCGGCGGCCGAACCCACUGGGAACUAAGGAAGUUAGUUCUCACCCCCAUUUUACUACAGGUUCCAGUUCGGGUGCCCCCGGUGAGCGGGAGGAUCGCGGUAAGGGCCCGGCGUUCUAGUCGCAUUAGCUACCUCCCUUUGUAUUAGCUAUCACCCCUUCUGUAGUGGAGAGUAGAUGAUGUAUAGGGUGAGGUUUGAGUAAUUGUAUUUAUGUUUUUGGGAGAAAGUAAAGGAUGUAAUUAUACAUGUAUAUUUUAUGUCAACUGAAUGUAAUAGAUAGCCCUUCUCUCUUAGUACUUGUAUAUUUUCCAUACUCGUAUCUUGCUCUUGGUUGUUGCACUAGUGGUGCUUCUUGAUCGUGUAUUUACGAAUUGAUUCCUGGGUAAAUUCUUAUACAUGAUCUGUUGGUUAGCCUUGGACGGACAGGGGAGGUCCUGUCCGUUCGGCAUCUGUUCGACGCGCCCGGGGCCGAACCAAAUUGGUAGCGGUCUUGGGGCGUGACAUACGCAGUGAGAGAUCGGUUCCCAAACGUUGGUUUUUCGGGUUCGCAGCGAGAGACCGGUCCCUGCUGGGGAGAGACCGGUCCCUUUGGGCGAAAAAUGCCCAGACCGGGCUGAUGCAAUUUUGGAUUUUUGGGGGACCUAGCUGGAUUUUGUUACAAUAGAGAGUCUAUAUGACCCAUCCACUCUCUCCUCUCCUCAUUUCUCUUCUCUCAACUCUCUCUACACCCUUGAUAGAGAAGAAGAAGAAGAAGAAGGAGAAGGAGAAGAAGGGAGGAAGACGAAGAAGUUUGAGAGCUACUAGUGGACUUGGAGCAUCUUCCUCACCCUCUCUUCUUCCUUGGUGCUUGGAGCUUGGACUAGGAGCUUGCAAGAGAGAAGAUCUUCACCCUUUGAGCUUGGAUUGAAGCUUCUUAGAGGUCGGUAGCCCUUUCUCUCCAUCUAGACUUUGGAUUUGAGGUUUUCUUGUGUUGGAACCCUAGAAUGAGAUUUUAGGGUUGAUUUUGGGGCUUUUUGAUCUAGGACUUUUGGAGCUUGAUCACUUGGAUUAGAGUCUUCCUUUGGGUUGGAAUGGAAGGGAUUUAGCUCUCUUUUGGAGCUUGAGUGAGAAUUUCUACUCCCUAGGUGAGUUUUUGCCCUAUUCUUGUGAUUGUUAUUGUUCGAGCCUAGAGUUGCUCGUAAUGCUUGUGUAUCUCUUCGCUGAUCACUUUUAGGGUAUCUUGAGGCUCGUGGACAACUCCGUUCGGCGAAUCGAAGGAGCACGCGACGGUUCGGUGGGUUUGACCUAGCCUAUGAUAUGAGAAAUGAUCAUAUUUGGCAAAAUAUGUUUCGUAAAGUAGAAAUUCAUGCAUUUCCAUGUUAAAUGUAUUUAAUAUGAAUUUGAGAAUGCUUAACAUGCAUAUAUUAUGUAUAGUGAAAUUUUAGACCUCUAUGUGGUAGAGUGCAUGCAUGUGAGACUUAGCAUUCUAGUUAUGAUUGGGAACCAUGAUUCCUAUUAUGGAAAUGAAUUUUGCUUUCAUGCAUUUAACCUAUAUGCCAAUUGUGACAUUAGGAAUUUUAGAAGCCUAGAGAGAGCUUGAGAACUUGGACUAUUAGAGAAUUGGGACAAUGUCAUAAAGAGGCAUUGGGCCCGGGUCAUGGUAAUCAUUGGUGUUAAUGUUUUAAUUGAAACAUAGAACAAGAUUUGGGCUUGAUCGGUGUGAUGCUUAAGUAUCAUAAAGAGACACUAAGCAAGUGAGUGUUGGGACAUCACUUAGAGACAUUGGGCUAGAUCCUUGGAAUGCUAGUGACCUUGCCAUGUUAGAGACAUGUGGAUAGAGUAUUUGAGACAGUGACCUUGCUUGUUUGCCAUUUGUGCUCAUUCGCACAUGCUUGUGUGGGUCGCUCCCCACAAGCCGGCACUCGGGAGUUAGCCUACGCUACUUAUGUUCGCUCGUGCGGUAUUGAGAAGCCUACGGGGUCGAGUGGGACAGACACCUUCCAAGAGCAGGGAUGUUGGGCUACCACAGGCACUUAGGCGGCACAAGCUGGAUUACCUUUGGUAGGUCCUUAAUGGGAAAUGAAAAUCGACACGGGGUGAGUUUGUUAUAAACACUACUGAAUAGAGAGUAGUAGUUGGAUUACUCGGACUAGCUUCUAGUAUAGAUUUGGACUUUGGGUAUACAUACAUACAUGUUGUAUGCUAGGAGACAUUGCUUACCUGCAUUCAUAUAAACAAACCAUGACAUUAUUUAUGGCUAAGUAGAGACAUAUUCUUCAUGACAAGAUAAUUGUGCAUUACAUAAAUGCCGUGUUUAAUUGCAAGUAAUAUUUUAGCAUUUUCAUUAUGCUUUCAUAAAUGCAAAUUACUCGUUAUUGCUAUUGCUUUUGACUUACCCUUUUCUUUUGGGCCUAAUGGUGCAAUGAGCUGAGGUCAGUAAUUGCCCACUGGGAACUAUAAUUAUAGUUCUCACGCCCUCUGUUUUAUGUUUUCUUUCAGAGCGUUCCACGCCAGGAGAGGCUAGGGACCGCGGGAAGGGCGUCGCUUCGAGUUAGCCCUUCAGCGAGAGACGAGUUUAGGUGGUCUACCUCUCGAUGUUUUAUUUUGUGAGAGGUUGAGAGUUGUACCCGUAUAUGUAUAGAGACCACCUUUCUUUUGGAUCCUGGUAUUUCUUUUGAGGAGUUAGUAUUGUAUCACCUUAUGUUUUACUUUCUUCGUCUUGGUAUAUUUCCUUUACUUUGGUGUAGAUGAUAGAACUUUACUUGCUCUGAUAUCAUUAGUUGCUAGUUAUUUCACUUUUUUUUUUGCUCUAUCUCCUGCUUUACUUCCGCUUUUAUUGUAGGCGCCUUAUAUGUGUAGACAUAUGGCGGGUCUGGGAACGCUACCGGGAGGGCCUUCGGCUGUCCCGGGGCGUGACAAUAUCCCCGUAGUAUGGGAAUUUGGAGAUGUGUUCCCAGCGGAGCUACCAGGCAUGCCGCCUGAUAGAGAGAUUGAGUUUGUGUCAGAUCUCGUUCCCAGGACUACUCCAAUCUCAAAGGCUCCUUAUAGGAUGGCACCAGCGGAAUUGAAGGAGUUGAACUUGAGGCAGCGCAGAUGGUUGGAGCUACUCAAGGAUUAUGAUUUGACGAUACUUUACCACCCGGGCAAGGCUAACGUGGUGGCGGAUGCGCUAAGUAGGAAAUCGACUGAGAACAUAGCGAUGCUUGUGGUUACUCAACCGCCGUUGAUCGAGCAGAUGAAGCGGUUGGAGUUGGAGGUGGUGGCUCCUGAUACACCUUUGAGACUGAUGACUUUGGUGGUGCAACCUACACUUUUGGAAAGGAUUAAAGAAAAGCAAGCUUCCGACUCGGAGUUGAGAAAGAUUCGAGCUAAGAUGGUUGAUGGUUCCACCGGUGACUUCACUUUAGACGGUGAUGGAUUGAUGCGUUUCCGCGGACGACUUUGUGUACCGGCGGACUUGGGUAUUAAAGAGGAUAUUCUUCAAGAAGCACAUCGAGCACCGUAUGCUUUGCAUCCGGGAGGCACCAAGAUGUACAAGGAGUUGAAGUUGAUUUAUUGGUGGCCCGGGAUGAAAAAGGAUGUUGGUGAGUUCGUUGCUAGAUGUUUAACUUGCCAACAGGUGAAGGCUGAGCACCGAGUUCCUGCGGGGAAGCUGCAGAGCCUACCGAUUCUAGUGUGGAAGUAGGAAAAGAUCACCAUGGAUUUUGUGAUGGGAUUGCCUCGCUCACAGGCCGGGCAUGAUGCUAUUUGGGUGAUCGUGGAUAGAUUGACGAAAUCGGCACAUUUCAUACCUAUCCACACUACAUGGACUGGUGGGAGACUCGCACAAGUUUAUUUGGACGAGAUUGUGCGAUUACACGGGGUACCUACUUCUAUAGUAUCGGAUCGAGACCCCCGUUUUGUAUCCCAUUUUUGGAGAAGCUUACAGGAUGCUUUGGGUACGCGCUUGGAUUUCAGCACUGCCUUCCACCCCCAGAGCGAUGGGCAGUCGGAGCGUACAAUACAGACCCUCAAGGACAUGCUUCGAGCCUGUGUGAUUGACUUCCAGGGAGGAUGGUCGCAGCAUCUACCGAUGGCAGAGUUUGCUUAUAACAACAGCUAUCAAACAAGCAUCAAGAUGGCACCGUUCGAGGCACUAUAUGGACGGAAGUGUAGAUCGCCACUUUAUUAGAGUGAAGUUGGCGAGAGAUUGGCUUUAGGCCCAGAUGUGCUCCAGGAAGCAGAGGACAAGGUUCGCAUCGCUCGGGAGCUGAGGGAGGACUUGAGCUUUGAGGAGCAACCUUUGAGGAUUUUGGCUCGCAAGGUAAAACGAUUGCGGAACCGUGAGAUUCCAUACGUGAAGGUGCUUUGGAGCAACCACGACGAGCGCGAGGCCACUUGGGAGCUGGAGAGCGCACUGAGGGAGCGCUAUCCCCAUCUUUUUCAGAUGGAGGCUUGAGGUACUUGUCAUCUGUUUCGCGGACGAAACUCCCUUUUAGGAGGGGUGAAUGUAGCACACUGGACCUUUGCAAAUUGCGAGGUUCGAGUUUUUGGAUGUAUUUCGAGCUUUUCCACACUUGGUGGAGGGUUGUAGAAUGUUUUCCGACCUAAAAAGUUCAAAACUAGAAUUCUG